AGGACGAACGCUGGCGGCGUGCUUAACACAUGCAAGUCGAGCGGUAAGGCCUUUCGGGGUACACGAGCGGCGAACGGGUGAGUAACACGUGGGUGAUCUGCCCUGCACUCUGGGAUAAGCCUGGGAAACUGGGUCUAAUACCGGAUAUGACCUGCUCUCGCAUGGGGGGUGGGUGGAAAGAUUUAUCGGUGCAGGAUGGGCCCGCGGCCUAUCAGCUUGUUGGUGGGGUAAUGGCCUACCAAGGCGACGACGGGUAGCCGACCUGAGAGGGUGACCGGCCACACUGGGACUGAGACACGGCCCAGACUCCUACGGGAGGCAGCAGUGGGAAUAUUGCACAAUGGGCGAAAGCCUGAUGCAGCGACGCCGCGUGAGGAUGAAGGCCUUCGGGUUGUAAACCGUACUUCUAGCAGGACGAAGACGCGAACGUGACGGUAACCUAGCGAGAAGAAAGACGAACCCGGACUAACCUAACGUACGCCAGCAGCCGC
rnacentral:rRNA from 1 species